UACGUAGGGUGCAAGCGUUGUCCGGAAUUAUUGGGCGUAAAGAGCUCGUAGGCGGUUUGUCGCGUCUGCCGUACGAAAGUCCGGGCUCAACGUCCGGAUCUGCGGUGGUACGGGCAGACUAGAGUGAUGUAGGGGAGACUGGAAUUCCUGGUGUAGCGGUGAAAUGCGCAGAUAUCAGGAGGAACACCGAGUGGCGAAGGCAGGGUCUCUGGGCAUUAACUGACGCUGAGGAGCGAAAGCGUGGGGAGCGAACAGG
rnacentral:rRNA from 1 species